rnacentral:lncRNA from 1 species
CCGCACCCCCGCCCGCACCCCGACCACUCCUUCCUUCUCGCCUCCUUCCCUCCCUCGCUGCCCUGCGCCUCCCUUUCCCGAUUCUGCCUCCCAGCCUUCCUCCGUCUCGCGCGCUCCUUGCAGGUCCGCGUCCAUACCGUCCAGCCCCAGCCCAGCCCGCAGGUGGGGGACAGUCGCGGCCGCUGUCCAGGUCCGGUCUCCGACGCUCGAGGACAGAAGCAGCCACGGGCAGGAGCAGAACCAGCCCCCGGGGAGCCUCCUGGACCCUCCCACGCGGCAGGUUCCGCCGAACCCGUUCCUCUCACUUUCAGAUCAUCACCAGUGGUACAGUCUUAACAACUGUGUCCAGAUGGGAUGUGGCUCCCUGAUGGGUCUUCUGUAACUUAAAGUCCAACAGGUUGUGUUAUUCUCAUGGUCUGAUAUCUGAUAGAAGUCAAGAUACAAGUUCACCGGGAAAGAAAAACCAUCCUCCCUCCACCCCAAUCCUGGAAGAGUUUUCCACUCAAAGGAUACUAUGCUGGCCAUUUAUUGAUCUUCAAGCUCAAUGUGAUUGGUGAAACUAUCGUAAUUAAUCCAUGUGGUCAAAAG